GUGAUUGAGCUGACGUCGAUCAACGAUGAAUCCGGAUCUAGAAGGCACCAAUGUAGCCGGUGCAGCUGUAACUCUGUGUUGUGUGUGGUUGAUUGAGACUAUAAACGUGGACUUUGGAGAUCAGGUAGUUUUAAUCAAGCAGAACUGACUCUCUGCAUCUCUCUCAGUGCAUCAAAAUGAUUUUAGCACGAGCACGCCGGGCAAAACAGUUCAACAAAGCCAAUAACUGCUUCAUGUGUGCCACUGAUAAAGAUCCUGGAUGUGGCCCAAAGACUGACUGGAUCUGUUGGGAGCUGUGAAUGCUGGAGUCAAUACAUUGACAGGGAGAGAGAGGCAGUCUGUCAUUCUACACACUGGACUAACUGGACUACAGGCUGAUAAGAUAUUUUGGUUCUUUGGUCCAGUCAUUCCAAACACCUCAAUAGUUGAGAGUCAGGUCAUCAGAGGAGAGAACAUCACAGAAUUCAAAGGAAGAUUCUGAGAAAAACUGCAGCUGGACAGAGAAACUGGAUCUCUCACCAUCAGAAAUCUCACCCUCAACAACUCUGGAGUUUAUCAGCUAGACUUUUGUGUGAUUAAUCUACACAAAAUACUCCAUAAUGUCAAAGUGAAAAGAAAACUCUAUAAAAAAAAUUCAACCCCUUUGUAAGGAGAAGCCUAAAAUAGUUCAGGAUUAAGAUUGGCCUAACAAAUCACAUACUCUGUGUGAAAUAAUACAAUAAUAUGAUGUUUGAAUGACUACCCUGUGUACCUGAUAGGCUACUUACAACAUCUAAAGGUCCUUCAGUUGAGUAGUGAAUUUGAAGCACAGAUUCAACCACAAAGACCAGGGAGAUGUUCCAGUGCCUCAUUAAAUCCAUUCCAUUUUGUAGAACAAUAAAAUAGUUAUUAUUAGCACUAUAUUAUUAUUAUAUAAUAGGCUAUAUUAUAAUGCUAGCCAUGUUGUUGCAGUUUUUUUUAAUCACGUUGGCACAUUUUUCAGAUGUAAGGUAUAUUUUCAAAACUCUUGGUACAACACUUGUAAUGCCCCCUGUCUCAUGUUCAGAACCUUUGAAUUAGGAUUCAUUUGAGGUCAAAACAUCUUUCAACCCUGAGUCAUUCAUGAAAAAUAUUUUUUUCUUCAGAAAAUAACAUGAACAUUUAAUUUAGUCACCAAUACUGAGAAUGAUACAGGCUCACCAUUUAGUAAUUUUAACGUAACAUUUAACCUAAUAGCACAAAAUACAUGAUACAAUUUUCAAAACGGAUAUUUUUGAAGUGCUGAAUAGAAUAAACAAUAGAGGAUAAAUAACAUUUUCCAUACAAACGUUGGAGCAUGUUGAGAUUUUUUUUUUUUUUACUUACAGAAACAGUUUCUUUAUACAGUACAAACGAAGAAGAAAUCAUCAGAUAUAGGAUUAUUGUGGCAUCUAUUGUAAAAACAGAAGCCAACAGUAAAAGGAAUUUCUUUUCUGCCCCAAACAACAUUACAUAAUAUAUACUUUUAUGUGACGUGUUACUGUAACUGCUAAAGUAUCAUCAGCAUAAAUCAUCAGAUUAAAGUGUAUCAAUUAAAAUCUGAUCUUUACAA